rfam:Ovis aries breed Texel chromosome 3, whole genome shotgun sequence.
UCCCUGGUGGUCCAGUGGUUAGGACUCAGCACUUUCACUGCUGGGACCUGAGUUCAAUUCCUGGUCAGGGAA